GUUUUUGUAGUUUAAAUAAAACAUUGGUCUUGUAAACCAAAAUAGAGUAAUAUUACUCCUUAAACU
rnacentral:tRNA from 1 species